GCGGGAGGCGGAAGUUCCGCGGACCGCCGCCUCCGUCCCGGCUGCGGCCCCUGCCGGUUACAUAACUCGUUGCGGGCUUCACACGGCCCCGCUUCCGGCUCCUUGCGACCCCAGGAUGCGCUGAGUCCGACUACGCCGUCGACUGCCGCCGGCUCCCGCCCGAGGUACCCAGACUCAUGGUAUCGUGACAUCACCUCCAACAAGAAGUUCUUUUCUCUUGCUGCGACCUACAGGGGUGCCAUCGUGGGAAUGAUAGUAGCUGAAAUAAAAAGUAGGACCAAAAUACACAAGGAGGAUGGAGAUAUUCUAGCCUCCAACUUCUCUGUUGACACACAAGUUGCAUACAUUCUAAGCCUGGGAGUAGUGAAGGAAUUCAGGAAGCACGGCAUAGGUUCCCUUUUACUUGAGACUUUGAAGGAUCACAUAUCCACCACCGCCCAGGACCACUGCAAAGCCAUCUACCUGCACGUCCUCACCACUAACAACACAGCAAUAAACUUUUAUGAAAAUAGAGACUUUAAGCAGCACCACUAUCUCCCCUACUACUACUCCAUCCGUGGGGUCCUCAAAGAUGGCUUCACCUACGUCCUCUACAUCAAUGGUGGCCACCCUCCUUGGACCAUCCUGGACUACAUUCAGCACUUGGGCUCUGCGCUAGCAAACCUGAGCCCCUGCUCCAUCCCGCACAGGAUCUAUCGCCAGGCCCACAGUCUGCUCUGCAGCUUCCUGCCAUGGUCGAGCAUCUCCACCAAGGGCGGCAUCGAGUACAGCCGGACCAUGUGAUACCAGCCAGGCAGCCUCCAGCAGGUCCCACCCCUCGGCGCCCUGCGGAGCCCGCCUUCCUGGCCAUCUGACCUCAGCUGUCCUCUGCAGAGGAACUGGCCUGUCGGCCUGCCCCAGCUGCAGGCCCGGUGCUACGCGGGCUCAGGAGCAGAGCGUCGUGGGGCGGGCACGCCCAGUCUCUGACAGGCUUUUCCAGCCCUUCCUGCUUGCUCUAGAAAUCUCUGCCCCAUACCCUGGUUUGGCCCUCAUGUAAGUGCACCAGCCCCGCAGGCCGGCUGGGGUGUGGCAGCAUUCACUGUGGUCUGUUUCUUCUGCUGCCCCAGGAGCAAGGGGACAGGAAGGGGCUUCCUUCCCUGCACCUCCUCACUGGCCUCUUCCCCACCACCGCCUGUUCCUUUCAGCUCCUUCCUCCAAAGCCAGAAUGAACUUUUGGGAGGGAGGAAUCCAAGUGUUAUGGACAGAUUUGACCCUAAAGAAACAGGACCCUCAAAACAAAUGAGGGGGUGAAAUAAAGGGAAUGCCAGACCCUCAUCCAGAACCAGCCUGCAGAAGCCUGGGGGGCGGGGAGCAGCCUCCACCUCCUCACAAGGGGAAGGCUUUUCACCCAAGCAGAGUUCUGGGGCUCAGCUGCCUGACACGGGCAGUCAGAUCAUGGGAAGGUGUCCCCCUCCUCUGCUGGCAGUCCCACUGUCCGGGAAAGCGAGGAUCUGCCCACCAGAUAGUGGAUGAGCCAUUCAGCUGAACUGCUCCAGGGAGCCAGGCUGAGGACAAGUGCCAGUGUGGGUCCUGGGGGUCCUCUCCCCCAGCCCCCCAGUCCCAUGAGCUGCAGCUCCACGGUUUGGCCAGGUGCAAACAGGAAGAAGCUGAGUGUGGUGUUGAUCAAGUGGGAUCUGGCCUUUGGGGCUGGGGGCAGUCACGUGCCUUGUGGUCCCUCAGCCUCUGGGAACAGAGACAGGAGAGGCUAUGUCAGUGCCGAGAAGCAUGCGUGUGGACAUUACUUGCUUCUGGCAUCCCCCCUACCCCCAUCCCCCAAAGCUGCUUGCCACCUGCCCUGCCCUCCAGAGUUGAGGGGGUUGGCAGCGUCGUGUCCAGUGUCGCUGCAGUGUCACAUAGCCAUUGCCACAGUGCACUAGCCAGAGGAGGAGGAGAAGGGGGGACAACUGGGCAGGGGAGCCUUGGAGAUGCGUCCUUCCCUCCCUCAGAACUCCCAGCCUGGGGGCUCCUCUGGCCUCAUGGUGGGGGAAAGAGGUUCUCUAGAUGAAGGUGAGCCCUGGUAGGAAAAGCGUUCCUCCUCCCUUGGCCGCCUCAUGCUCUCAACUGCCUGGUCUCCACUUUGUGCUGAUAUUGGCAUCAAGCUCAGGCUCAGCUCACUGUCUUCUAAUCUGAAUCAACGAUGAUCAUGUAGUUUUUAUUUCUGCCCUGAGGGGUAAGGGACGAGUCUUCCAGAAAGUUCUGCCACGGACAUUCAUAAUUGAGCUGAGGCCUUGCCCUGCCCCUCCCUCCAUGCCCCAAUCACUGUCCAGCCCAGUGUUGAAUGGAUUGUAGUGUUUUGUCUCAUUACAAACAAAUAAAUAGACUGUAAUUGGUCA